AGCGAACGCUGGCGGCAGGCCUAACACAUGCAAGUCGAACGAACUCUUCGGAGUUAGUGGCGGACGGGUGAGUAACACGUGGGAACGUGCCUUUUGGUUCGGAAUAACUCAGGGAAACUUGUGCUAAUACCGAAUGUGCCCUUCGGGGGAAAGAUUUAUCGCCAUUAGAGCGGCCCGCGUCUGAUUAGCUAGUUGGUGAGGUAACGGCUCACCAAGGCGACGAUCAGUAGCUGGUCUGAGAGGAUGACCAGCCACACUGGGACUGAGACACGGCCCAGACUCCUACGGGAGGUAGCAGUGGGGAAUCUUGCGCAAUGGGCGAAAGCCUGACGCAGCCAUGCCGCGUGAAUGAUGAAGGUCUUAGGAUUGUAAAAUUCUUUCACCGGGGACGAUAAUGACGGUACCCGGAGAAGAAGCCCCGGCUAACUUCGUG
rnacentral:rRNA from 1 species